rnacentral:rRNA from 1 species
AGUGAACGCUGGCGGUAGGCCUAACACAUGCAAGUCGAACGGCAGCACAGUAAGAGCUUGCUCUUACGGGUGGCGAGUGGCGGACGGGUGAGGCAUACAUCGGAAUCUACUUUUUCGUGGGGGAUAACGUAGGGAAACUUACGCUAAUACCUCAUACGACCUACGGGUGAAAGCAGUGGAUCUUCGGACCUUGCGCGAUUGAAUGAGCCGAUGUCGGAUUAGCUAGUUGGCGGGGUAAAGGCCCACCAAGGCGACGAUCCGUAGCUGGUCUGAGAGGAUGAUCAGCCACACUGGAACUGAGACACGGUCCAGACUCCUACGGGAGGCAGCAGUGGGGAAUAUUGGACAAUGGGCGAAAGCCUGAUCCAGCAAUACCGCGUGGGUGAAGAAGGCCUUCGGGUUGUAAAGCCCUUUUGUUGGGAAAGAAAAGCAGCAGGUUAAUACCCCGCUGUUCUGACGGUACCCAAAGAAUAAGCACCGGCUAACUUCGUG